UACGGGGGGGGCAAGCGUUGUUCGGAAUUACUGGGCGUAAAGGGCUCGUAGGUGGCCAACUAAGUCAGACGUGAAAUCCCUCAGCUUAACUGGGGAACUGCGUCUGAUACUGGAUGGCUUGAGUUUGGGAGAGGGAUGCGGAAUUCCAGGUGUAGCGGUGAAAUGCGUAGAUAUCUGGAGGAACACCGGUGGCGAAGGCGGCAUCCUGGACCAAUUCUGACACUGAGGAGCGAAAGCCAGGGGAGCAAACGGG
rnacentral:rRNA from 1 species